rnacentral:rRNA from 1 species
GACGAACGCUGGCGGCGCGCUUAACGCAUGCAAGUCGAACGGUGAACGAGGGAGCUUGCUCCCUCCGGAUCAGUGGCGAACGGGUGAGUAACACGUGAGUAACCUGCCCUUGACUCUGGGAUAAGCGUUGGAAACGACGUCUAAUACCGGAUACGACGCGCGAAGGCAUCUUCUGCGCGUGGAAAGAACUUCGGUCAAGGAUGGACUCGCGGCCUAUCAGCUAGUUGGUGAGGUAACGGCUCACCAAGGCGACGACGGGUAGCCGGCCUGAGAGGGUGACCGGCCACACUGGGACUGAGACACGGCCCAGACUCCUACGGGAGGCAGCAGUGGGGAAUAUUGCACAAUGGGCGCAAGCCUGAUGCAGCAACGCCGCGUGAGGGACGACGGCCUUCGGGUUGUAAACCUCUUUUAGUAGGGAAGAAGCGAAAGUGACGGUACCUGCAGAAAAAGCACCGGCUAACUACGUGCCAGCCGCCGCGGUAACAC